rnacentral:rRNA from 1 species
UACGUAGGGUCCGAGCGUUGUCCGGAAUUAUUGGGCGUAAAGGGCUCGUAGGCGGUCUGUUGCGUCGGGAGUGAAAACUUACAGCUUAACUGUGAGCGUGCUUUCGAUACGGGCAGACUUGAGGCAUUCAGGGGAGAACGGAAUUCCUGGUGUAGCGGUGAAAUGCGCAGAUAUCAGGAGGAACACCGGUGGCGAAGGCGGUUCUCUGGGAAUGUCCUGACGCUGAGACGCGAAAGCGUGGGGAGCGAACAGG